CGCACCUGGGCGCCUCGCCGGAUCCUCGGCUUUUCACUCUCUGGGUCCCCGGCUCCGAAACGGGGCUGCCAAAGGCAUGCUGAGCACAAGAUCUGGUUGUUAAACAUUUGCCAGCAUACCCCUGAUGGAGACUGAGAUGCACUGUACAGCACAAUAUGCAUCCAUUUUGUAUACAUUUUCACUUUUGCUGCUGGUAAUAAGGGCGAGUGGUGGAUGGACAGGGAAGGGUCACAAUCUGUGAUUUCAUUCUACCAAUGAAGACAGGCA